rfam:Drosophila virilis strain TSC#15010-1051.87 Ctg01_14569, whole genome shotgun sequence.
AAUGAUAAAUAAAGGGCAAUUUGUAUUGUAUGGAUUCUAAACCAUUAAAAGUUUUUAAUUUGUUUUAUUAACGACAAUGGAUGUGAUGCCAAUGUUAUUUAUAAGAUAGUAAAUUGGGAGGAUCUUCGAUCACCUGAUGCCGCGGUAGUUAUAUUUUAAAUCCUUAUUUAAUACAAUGUCAAAUCCUAGAAUCAAUUGUAAACGACUUUUGUAACAGGCAAGGUGUUGUAAGUGGUUGAGCAGCUUCCAUGCUGUUAUCCACUAAAGCUUAUCCUUUGCUUGAUGAUUCGA